GCCGCGGUAGCUCAGUGGUAGAGCACUUCGCUGAAGACGAAGGUGUCGUCAGUUCAAUUCUGACCCGCGGCA
rnacentral:tRNA from 4 species